GCUCCGGUGGCCUAGUGGUUAUAGCGUCCGCCUCUGAUGAGGGAGGUCGUUUCUUCAAAUCCGGAACG